rnacentral:tRNA from 1 species
AUCUUUUUAGUAUAUUUAAUAUAUUUGACUUCCAAUCAAAAGAUCUUUAAAAUAAGAAAAGAUA